UGUGUCAUAUCCACUCAUCAUUGACUGAUGACCCCUGAACAGAUUGUCAGUGCCCUUCCCAACUUCAUGUGUUUCUUUGUCAUUGCUCUUCCUCAUACAGCUUGCCCCCACACUCACAGCUUGGUGUGUAUAUUGUAACAAUGUGUUUCUUUAUUUCAUUGCUCCAGAUGUGUCAUGUUCACUCAUCAUUCACAGAUAUCCGGCCCUUCUUCAUACAGCUUGCCCCCUCCCCACAUUCACUGCUUGCUGUGUCAUAUUCACUCAUCAUUGACUGAUGACCCCUGAACAGAUUUCCGGCCCUUCUUCAUACACCUUGUCUUCCACCUUCACAGUCAUGGCACAACACUCAGGAGUGCUGUGAGUUGCAUGACACCUGCAGAGGCUCCAUACUACAGACUACUACUACUCGGUACUACAGAAACCG